GUGCCAGCAGCCGCGGUAAUACAGAGACCUCAAGCGUUAUCCGGAUUUAUUGGGCGUAAAGCGUCUGCAGACGGUAAAGUAAGUUCGGGGUUAAAGACCCAGGCUCAACCUGGGGAAAGCGUCGAAAACUACUUUGCUUAGAGGACAUGAGAGGCCAAUAGAACUUAUGGUGUAGGGGUGAAAUCCGUUGAUACCAUAGGGAAUACCAAGGGCGAAGGCAUUUGGCUGGUGUGUUCCUGACGUUCAGAGACGAAAGCGUGGGUCGCGAAUGGGAUUAGAUACCCCUGUAGUCC
rnacentral:rRNA from 1 species